CCCUCCUCUCCGCCCGGAUCGCGGUGGCCGCCGCCGCCGACUCCAAGAUCGACAACCUCCGUGACGCCGUCGCCAAGCUCGGCGAGAUCAGCGAGAACGAGAAGGCCGGGUUCAUCAGCCUCGUCUCGCGCUACCUCAGCGGCGAGGCCGAGCAGAUCGAGUGGAGCAAGAUCCAGACCCCCACCGAUGAGGUGGUGGUGCCCUACGACACCCUCGCGCCC